rnacentral:rRNA from 1 species
GACGUAGGGUGCAAGCGUUGUCCGGAUUUAUUGGGCGUAAAGAGCUCGUAGGCGGCUCGUUGCGUCGACUGUGAAAACUCACAGCUCAACUGUGAGCUUGCAGGCGAUACGGGCAGACUUGAGUACUUCAGGGGAGACUGGAAUUCCUGGUGUAGCGGUGAAAUGCGCAGAUAUCAGGAGGAACACCGGUGGCGAAGGCG